CGCAAGCUGACGGAGCAACGCCGCGUGAGGGAUGGAGGCCUUUGGGCUGUAAACCUCUUUUCUCAAGGAAGAAGAUCUGACGGUACUUGAGGAAUAAGCCACGGCUAAUUCCGUGCCAGCAGCCGCGGUAAUACGGGAGUGGCAAGCGUUAUCCGGAAUUAUUGGGCGUAAAGCGUCCGCAGGCGGCCGUUUAAGUCUGUUGUUAAAUCGUGGAGCUCAACUCCAUCACGGCAAUGGAAACUGUUCGGCUUGAGUAUGGUAGGGGCAGAGGGAAUUUCCGGUGUAGCGGUGAAAUGCGUAGAUAUCGGGAAGAACACCAGUGGCAAAAGCGCUCUGCUGGGCCAUUACUGACGCUCAUGGACGAAAGCCAGGGGAGCG
rnacentral:rRNA from 1 species